rnacentral:rRNA from 1 species
GGAAUAUUGCGCAAUGGGCGAAAGCCUGACGCAGCGACGCCGCGUGAGGGAUGACGGCCUUCGGGUUGUAAACCUCUUUCAGCUCUGACGAAGCGAAAGUGACGGUAGGAGCAGAAGAAGCACCGGCCAACUACGUGCCAGCAGCCGCGGUAAUACGUAGGGUGCAAGCGUUGUCCGGAAUUAUUGGGCGUAAAGAGCUCGUAGGCGGUUUGUCGCGUCGGAUGUGAAAACCCGGGGCUCAACCCCGGGCCUGCAUUCGAUACGGGCAGACUAGAGUUCGGUAGGGGAGUCUGGAAUUCCUGGUGUAGCGGUGAAAUGCGCAGAUAUCAGGAGGAACACCGGUGGCGAAGGCGGGACUCUGGGCCGAUACUGACGCUGAGGAGCGAAAGCGUGGGGAGCAAACA